GAGCCCGUGGUCUAGCGGUCAUGACGCCAGCCUUACACGCUGGAAAUCCCCGGUUCGAUCCCGGGCGGGCUCA
rnacentral:tRNA from 1 species